UGGGGAAUAUUGCACAAUGGGCGCAAGCCUGAUGCAGCCAUGCCGCGUGUAUGAAGAAGGCCUUCGGGUUGUAAAGUACUUUCAGCGGGGAGGAAGGGAGUAAAGUUAAUACCUUUGCUCAUUGACGUUACCCGCAGAAGAAGCACCGGCUAACUCCGUGCCAGCAGCCGCGGUAAUACGGAGGGUGCAAGCGUUAAUCGGAAUUACUGGGCGUAAAGCGCACGCAGGCGGUCUGUCAAGUCGGAUGUGAAAUCCCCGGGCUCAACCUGGGAACGGCAUUCGAAACUGGCAGGCUAGAGUCUUGUAGAGGGGGGUAGAAUUCCAGGUGUAGCGGUGAAAUGCGUAGAGAUCUGGAGGAAUACCGGUGGCGAAGGCGGCCCCCUGGACAAAGACUGACGCUCAGGUGCGAAAGCGUGGGGAGCAAACAGG
rnacentral:rRNA from 1 species